CUUCUGUUAUGUUUUUGUAAAGAAGAAAGGCUCCUUGAUGUCAACAACUGUGUGGUCCCUGUGGAAGCUGCCUGCUACCCUCCCGUGAGUCUCUUCAUAGCAAGCCUGACAACGGAUCUUCCCGAUCUUCCAGGGCUCCAGCCACUAAUGAAAGGCAGCUUAGAAGAAGCAGACAAUAGACAAAAUUCAGCUGCCCCACACAGCAUUUUUCUCAUGCGUAUUUUCAUUUCAAGAAUGAUACUCUCAAGGAUAAGGAAAAAUUACAAAAGACACUAAUUUUUGAAGACCUUUUGAAAACCGAAACAGAGGAUGAUUUAAACCAUCCACAUUCCUCCUGACUUGAGCUUUCACAGACCUGAAUGCUGAUUGGAAAAUCCUGUCAUGGUUUCUCCGAAGA